AUACCUUUCUCGGCCUUUUGGCUAAGAUCAAGUGUAGUAUCUGUUCUUAUCAGUUUAAUAUCUGAUACGUGGGCCAUCGGCCCACAUGAUAUUAAAUUAAUUUUUCUCGGGGGAAGGCCCAACACAUUAGCUUGCUAUUGUGGGCCUUUGAGCGUUGCCCUUGCCUUGCACUACCGCAUGGGCCUGGCCCACCCCAC